UAGGGAAUAUUAGAAAUGGACGCAAGUCUGAUCUAGCAACACCGCGUGUGCGAUGAAGGCCUUCGGGUUGUAAAGCACUUUUUGGGAGGAUUAGGAAGGAAUGUACUUCCAGAAUAAGUCUCGGCUAACUACGUGCCAGCAGCCGCGGUAACACGUAGGAGGCGAACGUUAUCCGGAUUUACUGGGCGUAAAGCGCGUGUAGGUGGUUCUGUAAGUAGGGCGUGAAAGCUCCUGGCUCAACUGGGAGAGGCCGUUCUAAACUGCAGAGCUAGAGGAUGGUAGAGGGAGGUGGAAUUCCGGGUGUAGCGGUGGAAUGCGCGGAUAUCCGGAGGAACACCAGUGGCGAAGGCGGCCUCCUGGACCAUUCCUGACACUCAGACGCGAAAGCUAGGGUAGCAAACGG
rnacentral:rRNA from 1 species